AGUCUAACAAAACCAAGUUAUUGAAAAAUUCUCAAAUCUUGACACCAAGGACCAACUUUGCCAAGUCUUACCACCAAAAGUGACUUGUUUCAAAACCAACCAAAUUUAAAAAUUUCUUGCACCUGUAUUUUGCAAGUAGUCAUCAUUUGGGGAUUUAAAAACUGUAUUGCAGCCUCUAAGUCCCAAAAACUAAGACUUUUAAAAAUUAAAAAAUCUUUGCGCGAAGUACCAACUUUGGCAAGUCUUGGCAUCAAACAUGGUUUGCUUGAAAACUAACCAAGUUGAAAAACUUCUUGCACAUAUAUUUUGCAAGUAGUCGUCAUAUGGGGGUUAAAAGAGGGCAUUGCAGCCCAUAAGUCUAACAAAACCAAGUCGUUGAAAAAUUCUCAAAUCUUACACCAAGCACCAAUUUUGCCAUGUCUUACCACCAAAAAUGACUUGUUUGAAAACCAACCAAAUUUAAAAAUUUCUUGCACUUGUAUUUUUCCAGUAGUCGUCAUUUGGGGAUUUAAAGAAUGCAUUGCAGCCUCUAAGUCCCAAAAACUAAGACUUUCAAAAAUUUCAAAAUCUUGGCACCAAGAUCCAACAUUGCCAAGUCUUGCCACAAAAACGUGGCUUGCUUGAAUACUAGCGAAGUUGAAAAAUUUCUUGCACCUAUAUUUUGACACUAGUAUUCAUUUGGGGAUUUAAAAAGUGUAUUGCACACCAUAAGUCUAACAAACCAAGUUGUUAAAAAUUUCUCAAAACAUGACACCAAGCACAAACUUUGCCAAGUCUUACGACCAAAAAUGACUUGUUUGAAAACCAACCAAAUUCUGAAAUUUCUUGCACCUGUAUUUUGACACUUUUCGUCAUUUGGGGAUUUAAAGAGUGCAUUGCAGCCUCUAAGUCCCAAAAACUAAGACUUUCAAAAAUUUCAAAAUCUUGGCACCAAGAUCCAGCUUUGCCAAGUCUCGCC
rnacentral:lncRNA from 1 species